GUGAGUCAUCGAAUCUUUGAACGCACCUUGCGCUCCCUGGUAUUCCGGGGAGCAUGUCUGUUUGAGUGUCAUGAACUCUUCAACCCACCAGUUUCUUGUAAACUGAAUGGUGUUUGGUUUCUGAGCGUUGCUCGUCCUCUGUGACUGAGCUCGUUCGUAAUAUAUGAGCAUCUCUAAUUCGAAUUCGGAUUGACUCAGCGUAAUAGACUAUUCGCUGAGGACACGCUUUUAGUGUGGCCGAAUAAGAUAAUUGUAGAAGCUUCCAACCCUUCUAGUCAUUUUAAGAUUAGACCUCAGAUCAGAUAGGACUACCCGCUGAACUUAA
rnacentral:rRNA from 1 species